rnacentral:misc_RNA from 1 species
CGGGAACUGCGAUGACCAGAGCUACCCCUGGAGGGGCCACGCGUACUUGGAAACUCAUCAUCAAUCUCAUCUAGUCUAUACUCUGCAAAUUCUACAGAUGUGACAGAACCCUCAUCAGAAUUUGAAUUAUCAUAACUCGAGCGGCGACUUCCCCUUCUUGUAUCAGCUACUCUUGACCUUCUUCUAUUUCUUGAACUUCUG